rnacentral:rRNA from 1 species
UACGGGAGGCAGCAGUGGGGAAUAUUGCACAAUGGGCGCAAGCCUGAUGCAGCCAUGCCGCGUGUAUGAAGAAGGCCUUCGGGUUGUAAAGUACUUUCAGUCGUGAGGAAGGUGUUAAGGUUAAUAACCUUAGCAAUUGACGUUAGCGACAGAAGAAGCACCGGCUAACUCCGUGCCAGCAGCCGCGGUAAUACGGAGGGUGCGAGCGUUAAUCGGAAUUACUGGGCGUAAAGGGCACGCAGGCGGUUAAUUAAGUUGGAUGUGAAAUCCCCGGGCUUAACCUGGGAAUGGCAUUCAAGACUGGUUAGCUAGAGUCUUGUAGAGGGGGUAGAAUUCCAUGUGUAGCGGUGAAAUGCGUAGAGAUGUGGAGGAAUACCGGUGGCGAAGGCGGCCCCUGGACAAAGACUGACGCUCAUGCGCGAAAGCGUGGGGAGCAAAC